rnacentral:lncRNA from 1 species
UACAUUUCUUGAGGGCUCACCAAGGGCCUGGCACUGUUGUAAGCAUUCUGCACAUAGCAAGUCACUUAAUUCUCACAACCUGACAGAGCAGGUUUCUCACACAGAAGAGAAAGCUGAAGUACAGAAAGGAUCCCACAGGCACAUUCCUUUCUUAAUCUUCUAAUGCCUCAUCAAAUUUUUAACCUCAGUUGUCCUCUGUAGGAGCUGCUUCCUGCACCUCCUUGUUGAGAAGAUUCUGGAUCUUCCUGAAUCAGGAUGUCCUAAUGAACACACACUUAUCCAGCCAGAACUAGAGCCGAACAGACCACUGACACUGUUGUGAAUGGAUGUGAUGUUUGGAGCUGCUGCAGGCUGGAGCCAACAAAGAGAAAAAGACAAGCCAGAAAGCCACAGAGUGGAGCCAGGACACUGGUCUUUUGCAACUGUGGGAGAGUUGUGGCCGAGAAUAGACCAUAAAUCCUCCAAAUGGAACCUUAAGCUUCGCUGCUAGCUGGAGUUGAGUUACAGCUGCUGAGAAGAUAGUGUGGAUGUUCUUCUGGGACUUUAGGACAGAUGAAUGCUCUGUAAGCACCAAACUGGCUAGAUCAGAACAUUAUAAGCUUCUGAGAGGCAAA